ensembl:lncRNA
AAGACAUGAAAGGUGACUGAUCAUUACUCUUACGGCACCACUAUUACCCACUCAGUCACCCUAAAUCAAUCUCUCUCUCUCUCUCUCUCUCUCUCUCUCUCUCUCUCUCUCUCUCUCUCUCUCUAACAGCAGGUUCUCCAGAGCGUCACUCAUCUUCAUGACCUACUGAGCACCUUACAGGCUGUGGUGGUCCAGCAAGACACCUUCAUCGAGGAGCAGCGUCAGGCCCUGAGCUCUCUAUCCCUCCGUCAACCCUCCGUCUCGUCCUCGUCCUCCGUCUCGUCCCUGUCGUCGUGUUCGUCUCGGCCGAGCUCUCUGAUGGAGCAGGAGAAGCACCGUCAGGAGGAGAAGGUCCGGGAGGAGGAGAGGAGGAGGAGAGAGGAGGACGACAGGAAGAGGAGAGAGGAGGAGGAGGUGAGGAGGAGACGUGAGGAGGAGCUGGCGCUGAGGGAGGAGAGACUCGUUGCCGUGGAGGAGGAGACGCAGAGGAGACGCGAGGCGCUGGAGCAGGAGCAGCAGGAUCUCGACAGCAGGAGGGAGGAGUACCAGAGAGAGCUGCUGAGACUCCGGGACGACCAGAGGAGACUGGAGAGAGAGAAAGAGCAGCUACACUCACAGCAACACAACACAGAGCCGGACUCGGUGGAACAGCGACGGCGCACCUCCUCCACUGCCUCAGAAGACACUGAAGGUGUGGAGGUUUUCUCUCGCGCAGACUCCAAACGCAAAGCCAAGAACCUGAACCCGUUUUCUUCCGGAUCCGGACACAAGGGCGGCGCCACCGAGCCACACGGCCAAAUCCCCACCCGCCUGCUGCAGCUCACUAAACCCAGAGACAAGAAGGAGAAGAAAAAGAAGAAAGGAAAAGGAGGCCAGCAGAACCAGGCUACAGAAACCCUGGGUGCAGCGGCCCCCGAGCCCUCAGCACAUAAAGACGUUUAUUUCUGCUGACUUCACUCUCCGUUUUUUUCCCCCACAAUGCCGUGCGUGUCAACUCGGCUCGGAGGCUGACAGGUCCGGGGGAAAAGUUCUCCGUCUUUCCUUCCUUUCUUACACACACACACACACACACACACACACACACACACACUUUAUAUACACACACACACACACACACGUUCUUCUGCACCUGGGAAUCUGGGUGUGUGGGUUCCGGAGCGGGCGUCGGCUCCGCGUUCAUUACACCACUGUGGGCACUUUGACAUUUUUUUCAUUUUCUUUGUUUUAUUUAAAGACGUCUUCGAAAAGAGAAAAGAACUUUGUGUGUUUUUUCCUGAAGAUUUCUGGGAGAAAAAUUAUUUAAUUUUUAAUUUUUAUUUUUUUAACUGAAGGAUAUUGAACUAACCAAACUAAUACCCUUGUGCAGUGUGAGUUUCACCACACUGUACUGCAGGAAGUGACGAGUUCUAGAAAUUUCCAUCCAAAUUUCCUCAUUUUUUAAUUUUUAUUUUCGUCAUCAGCGAGUGGCCUUUCUUUGUUCUUGUCAAUCUUCUUCUUCUUCUUCUUCUUCUGUGGUCUUGAUUAUUUCUCCUGAUCAUGAGAUGAACCAUUUUAUUCACGUAACCUCCUCAAAAAUUCAGCCGUAUUUGACGCAAAUUCAAUAAAACGUGACUUAAUUAAAUGAAAGAAAAUGAAAUUAUCGUCUUCUGAUCAUGAACCGUAAAUCCUGACUCGGUGUUCGCUCCGCUAGCUGCGUGACAUCUCCACAGAAGCGCGGUGACCGUUUCCUAACGUUUAAGACGAAUUACAUUUCCAAAUUAUGCCACGCCCGCAAAAUUAUGCCACGCCCACAAUCCGUCACCAGGUAUCGUUAUGAAUGAUUAUACGCAUGGGUAUAUCUCAAAGAAUUAAAAUAUAUAAAUAAAUAAAUAACCCAAUGUUAUUUUUCUCUGGAUUUUUGUGAAAUAAAAUGGAUUUUUUUUUAAACAGCGAUUUAUUAUGGCUUUAAUUUCAAGACCUGCACAGAGAGGAAAACCUUAUUUUUAUGAUAUUUUCGUGUAAUUUAACCCCUUCCCCCCUUUUAUUUUUUCUCAGUUGUGACUGAACAACAGGAACGUUACACUGAAGAGACGUCACGUUUAGUCGUGAAUUCGUUUGAUUUUAUUCUUUUAUUUUUAUUUAGCACUUUAUAUUAAGGCAGAAAGAUCCGGCUUUAAUCCGAGACAAUCAGUUAUUGAUGAUUUUUUUUGCACCAUAUGAAUGUUCUGGAACCUAACAGAAGCUAGAUUCGGUUUUGCAUGAACCAAAAAAACCCCGAACGAGUUUGUAGGUGAUGAAUAUUUAAUAAUUCCAAGUCGGGGGUGGAGUCGAUCUGGCGUAGCGACUGAUGAACGUUCGUUAGCGUCGUCGUGAGGAGUAUUCCGAGCAGCGAACGUGAUGUGAUGUGGAUGAAGGAGUCCUCGCCUGCGGGAUCAGGCACUUCUGUUAUUAACCUCGUAAAAAUAAGAAGAAUAAAAAGAAGCAGUUUUCAGAAAAAAAAACUGAACAGAGCUGAUUUUAUAUUCUUAUCAUGAUAAAAAAAAAUUGUUCGUUUUUUAAUCUACCCGUCACAUCUCGGACUCUCGGAUCAAAUAAUCCAGAAUGAGGACACGUUUCAAACGGCAGUCUUCGUUCAGCCUUUAUCCGAGUUCCCUACUCAGGCAGCCUGCUUUCGAGUGGAACACCGAGAUGGUGGGGGUAUUUUGUUGCUACGCGUCUACACGCGUUUUUUUUAUUUAUUUCCGCAUUUCAUUUUUAUUUCUGUUCUCCUCGGGUGCGUCGCUCUGAACUGAUCUGUUCCUCUUACACCACGGCAGUUUGCUAACGAUUACAAUUAAAGAGCGACACGUCGUACUUUUUGUCCAUUUAUAACUACAUUUAAAGUUGUGGAACUUCCAUGAACGUGUUACUUGCGUUACAGCAGCUAUAAAGGGAGUCGUUCCUCCGCCAGCCGCUCUUUUCUCUCGCUCCUGCAGUUACACGAAAUAAACGCAGCUUGUCGUGUUUCCAAGAAAAGAAGUGUAAACUCCUGUGUUACAACAGUGCUGACAUCGGAGACUCCUUCCUUAAAUGUUAGAUAAACAUUUCCUUACAAAACUCUCCGUAAGCGACUCUUGUCCUGUCAUACAAGUCCCUGUUACUAUAGAAACGAGUAUGCGAGCUAACCUAAUGGGUUUUAUAUGAUAACAUUUUGUGCUAAUGCUUUUGGAAAGAUAUUAUGAUGUCACUCACCCUCGCCUGAUUGGCUAGAAGUAACACGGUUAUCCAGUCGAGCUUGUUUUUAUGUUAUUUUGUUUGCGUCGAGGUUUCUAACGAAACGAACUUGCAAGUGGACCCGUACCUCACCAUCACACGCCCAAAAAACUUUUCACAAAAGCGAAGAUGAAGAUAAUUGGGCGUGCUGCUGUUAGCCUCCCUAUCAAGUGCACUUUUUUGUUUGACCAAUAGAGGGCGCUGUUUGCGCGCUGCAUAAUGGUGCCAAAGUCUUAGAAUCAGUACUGUUAAUGAUAAAAUUAUUAAUAAAACAUCAGCACUCUGUCUCUCAUGCACACACACACACUUUAAUAAGAAGAUAACCUUUUCAAAUAAUGCUCAAGAAUCAAACUACAAACGAAGGACAAGAAACUGUCAAUCAUCUACAAAAUGCUUGUUUUUGUUCAUUAGUUUAGCAUCGUGUUUGUGUUUGUUUUAUUUUUUUUUUAGGGAUCAUCGCUUUAUUGAAUUCAUUAUUGCAUUAUUUUUUCCGAUACUAAUGAACACGAGUGUGUUUUGAGGCUGGUUACAGGUGUUUGGUUCAGGUUGUUUAUUAGUAUUGCAUGAUGACGAGAGCGCACGUCGCGUAACCAGCAGGUCCUAACGCUGCCUUCAGCUUCAGAAAGUUCAAUAAAAAGGGUAUUUUACUAAAAGGUACCGUUUCAUUUGUGUAAAGAAGGGCUACAUUUGUGUAAAUAUCUGUAAAGUACAAAAUUAAAGUAUUAAUUGUGGAUUUUUUUUUGUUUGUUUGUUGUUUUUUUGGUGAUUUUUGAAUCAAGCUUUUUAUAACAGGCUUUAUUUAUCAGUAUU